rnacentral:rRNA from 1 species
UGGGGAAUAUUGGACAAUGGGGGCAACCCUGAUCCAGCCAUGCCGCGUGAAUGAUGAAGGCCUUAGGGUUGUAAAGUUCUUUUGCCAGGGAAGAUAUUGACGGUACCUGGAGAAUAAGCUCCGGCUAACUUCGUGCCAGCAGCCGCGGUAAUACGAAGGGAGCUAGCGUUGUUCGGAAUCACUGGGCGUAAAGCGCGCGUAGGCGGCUUUUCAAGUCAGGGGUGAAAUCCCACAGCUUAACUGUGGAACUGCCUUUGAAACUGUAAAGCUGGAAUGCAAGAGGGGAUAGCGGAAUUCCUAAUGUAGAGGUGAAAUUCGUAGAUAUUAGGAGGAACACCGGUGGCGAAGGCGGCUAUCUGGAUUGCAAUUGACGCUGAGGCGCGAAAGCAUGGGGAUCAAACAGG